UAAAACUUUCAACAACGGAUCUCUAGGCUCUUGCAUCGAUGAAGAACGCAGUGAAAUGCGAUAAGUAAUGUGAAUUGCAGAAUCUCGUGAAUCAUUGAAUCUUUGAACGCACAUUGCGCCCUAUGGUAUUCCAUUGGGCAUGCCUGUCUGAGCGUCA
rnacentral:rRNA from 1 species